rnacentral:lncRNA from 1 species
GAAAAGAGCAUUGCUGUUUCAGUUUUCUGUGUGAGAUCUUGGUCUUGCUUGUUGGACAGAAUGUGCUGUGAAAUAGGAAAUGGUUAGAAAAAAAUGGACCUUGUGGUACUACCUGUCAGGGCCUUCGGGGCACCAGGAAGCCUGAAGGGCCCCGGUGAAGGCCUAUAUGAUAGAGGAUUAUUUUUGUUGAUACAAUGAGUGGCCAGAAGUUGGAAUGAUGCUGGGACAGGUAGGAAUGGAGACAGGAGGGGCCUCCGUGGAAAAUCCGUAGAAAGGGUCACACUUAAGAGAAAGCUUAUAUUGAGGUAUUUUGUUUUGCUGUUAUUUGCAUUAGUGAAAAAGCAAAGCCCGGAAAGUGGUGAAGAAGCCUAAAGCCAGGGUUUGYGUUCUGCAGGAAGCCACAUGCUUGAAGUCCGUUUCGCAGAAUCAUUCUCAUGGAGGUUAUUGCUAUCGAGAGCUUUGGGAUUCCUGUUUUUUCUUUUUUUUUCUGGAGCAUGCAAGGGCAAGUAAGUAACACUCACUUCAUCUGCAUGUGCUGGGGGUCUGGGCUGUAGGCACGCACCACGCACCGCGCACGUCUCGACUGAAGCAUCACGGCUGCCUGAGGACCAGGCUCUACCCCACCUCCUGCCCCGGGCAUCGGAGACCACGGCGCUGCCUGGGCUGAUGCACCUCCUCCGUUCCUGUCCUCGUACCUGGGACCACUGAGCCUGGACGGUCCAGCCCUGGYUACACAGAGAGCCCCUGCACUGCCRUCCUUUGGUCCCCAGCCAGAGGGAGGGAACAACGUCACGGACGCGGGUGUGAACUUCCUUCAUUCCCAAGGCAUUCAGUCCGGAGAGUGCUUAUGUCAUGCCGAACUAACCUUUGAGCAUUUUAGUCAAAAUCRAAACUUCCUUCCUAAAUCGAUGGGCUUAAUUACACAAUAUUUCAUGUCCAUCCCAUAAAUGCUAUGAAAAUGCAUCCUUUCACUGAUGGAGUAUCGAAUAAAUGUUUUGGUUCAGUCUACA